rnacentral:rRNA from 1 species
AAUAGAUACCCAGGUAGUCCACGCCGUAAACGUUGGGCGCUAGAUGUGGGGGCCAUUCCACGGUUUCCGCGUCGUAGCUAACGCAUUAAGCGCCCCGCCUGGGGAGUACGGCCGCAAGGCUAAAACUCAAAGGAAUUGACGGGGGCCCGCACAAGCGGCGGAGCAUGCGGAUUAAUUCGAUGCAACGCGAAGGGCCUUACCAAGGCUUGACAUAUACGAGAACACUGCAGAAAUGUAGGACUCUUUGGACACUCGUAUACAGGUGGUGCAUGGUUGUCGUCAGCUCGUGUCGUGAGAUGUUGGGUUAAGUUCCGCAACGAGCGCAACCCUCGUCGCAUGUUGCCAGCACGUAAAGGUGGGAACUCAUGUGAGACUGCCGGGGUCAACUCGGAGGAAGGUGGGGAUGACGUCAAAUCAUCAUGCCCCUUAUGUCUUGGGCUUCACGCAUGCUACAAUGGCCGGUACAAGGGCUGCAAUACCGUAAGGUGGAGCGAAUCCCAAAAAGCCGGUCUCAGUUCGGAUUGAGGU